rnacentral:tRNA from 1 species
GGAAAUGUGGCUCAGUAGUAGAGUGCUUGCCUCGCAUGCAUGAGGCCCUGGUUCGAGUCCUCAGCACCA